rnacentral:tRNA from 1 species
GCAGUAGUAGUUCAGUGGUAGAAUUCUCACCUUCUGUGUGGGUGACCUGGGUUCGAUUCCCAGCCACCACC